rnacentral:rRNA from 1 species
UAACGCGUGAGGAACCUGCCUUUCAGUGGGGGACAACAGUUGGAAACGACUGCUAAUACCGCAUGACACUUUUGAGGGACAUCCCUUAAAAGUCAAAGCUUUAUGUGCUGAAAGAUGGCCUCGCGUCUGAUUAGCUAGUUGGUGAGGUAACGGCUCACCAAGGCGACGAUCAGUAGCCGGUCUGAGAGGAUGAACGGCCACAUUGGGACUGAGAUACGGCCCAGACUCCUACGGGAGGCAGCAGUGGGGAAUAUUGGGCAAUGGGGGAAACCCUGACCCAGCAACGCCGCGUGAAGGAAGAAGGCCUUCGGGUUGUAAACUUCUUUUACCAGGGACGAAGGACGUGACGGUACCUGGAGAAAAAGCAACGGCUAACUACGUGCCAGCAGCCGCGGUAAUACGUAGGUUGCAAGCGUUGUCCGGAUUUACUGGGUGUAAAGGGCGUGUAGGUGGAGAUGCAAGUUGGGAGUGAAAUCCAUGGGCUCAACCCAUGAACUGCUCUCAAAACUGUAUCCCUUGAGUAUCGGAGAGGCAAGCGGAAUUCCUAGUGUAGCGGUGAAAUGCGUAGAUAUUAGGAGGAACACCAGUGGCGAAGGCGGCUUGCUGGACGACAACUGACGCUGAGGCGCGAAAGCGUGGGGAGCAAACAGGAUUAGAUACCCUGGUAGUCCACGCUGUAAACGAUGAAUACUAGGUGU